UACGUAGGGACCAAGCGUUGUUCGGAUUUACUGGGCGUAAAGGGCGCGUAGGCGGCAAUUCAAGUCACUUGUGAAAUCUCUGAGCUUAACUCAGAACGGUCAAGUGAUACUGCUUUGCUAGAGUGCAGAAGGGGCAACCGGAAUUCUUGGUGUAGCGGUGAAAUGCGUAGAUAUCCGGAGGAACACCAGUGGCGAAGGCGACUUCCUGGCCUGUUCUUGACGCUGAGGCGCGAAAGCUGGGGGAGCAAACGGG
rnacentral:rRNA from 1 species